rnacentral:rRNA from 1 species
GACGAACGCUGGCGGCGUGCCUAACACAUGCAAGUUGAGCGACGAACCAGGGCUUGCCCUGGGGCAAAGCAGCGAACGGGUGAGUAACACGUGGGUAACCUACCCCGAUAACCGGGACAACCCGAGGAAACUCGGGCUAAUACCGGAUGUGCUCACUGGACUUCGGUUCAGUGCGUAAAGGAAGCUUCGGCCUCCGUAUCGGGAGGGGCCCGCGGCCCAUUAGUUUGUUGGUGAGGUAACGGCUCACCAAGACCGCGAUGGGUAGCUGGUCUGAGAGGACGAUCAGCCACACUGGGACUGAGACACGGCCCAGACUCCUACGGGAGGCAGCAGUGGGGAAUCUUGCGCAAUGCGCGAAAGCGUGACGCAGCAACGCCGCGUGGGGGAAGAAGGCCUUCGGGUUGUAAACCCCUUUCAGGAGGGACGAAGGUUAGGCGGUGAAUAGCCGUCCGGACUGACGGCACCUCCACAAGAAGCCCCGGCUAACUACGUG